CCUACGGGAGGCAGCAGUGGGGAAUUUUGGACAAUGGGCGAAAGCCUGAUCCAGCAAUGCCGCGUGAGUGAAGAAGGCCUUCGGGUUGUAAAGCUCUUUUGUCAGGGAAGAAACGGUGGGAGCUAAUAUCUCUUGCUAAUGACGGUACCUGAAGAAUAAGCACCGGCUAACUACGUGCCAGCAGCCGCGGUAAUACGUAGGGUGCAAGCGUUAAUCGGAAUUACUGGGCGUAAAGCGUGCGCAGGCGGUUUUGUAAGUCUGAUGUGAAAUCCCCGGGCUCAACCUGGGAAUUGCAUUGGAGACUGCAAGGCUAGAAUCUGGCAGAGGGGGGUAGAAUUCCACGUGUAGCAGUGAAAUGCGUAGAUAUGUGGAGGAACACCGAUGGCGAAGGCAGCCCCCUGGGUCAAGAUUGACGCUCAUGCACGAAAGCGUGGGGAGCAAACAGGAUUAGAUACCCUGGUAGUCCACGCCCUAAACGAUGUCUACUAGUUGUCGGGUCUUAAUUGACUUGGUAACGCAGCUAACGCGUGAAGUAGACCGCCUGGGGAGUACGGUCGCAGAUUAAACUUAAUGAAUUGACCGGNUGAGAGAGCGAGACGACGACGAGGGAGAGG
rnacentral:rRNA from 1 species